UAGGGGAGCGUUCUGUAAGCCUGUGAAGGUGGCCUGUGAGGGUUGCUGGAGGUAUCAGAAGUGCGAAUGCUGACAUAAGUAACGAUAAAGCGGGUGAAAAGCCCGCUCGCCGGAAGACCAAGGGUUCCUGUCCAACGUUAAUCGGGGCAGGGUGAGUCGACCCCUAAGGCGAGGCCGAAAGGCGUAGUCGAUGGGAAACGGGUUAAUAUUCCCGUACUUGGUGUUACUGCGAAGGGGGGACGGAGAAGGCUAUGUUGGCCGGGCGACGGUUGUCCCGGUUUAAGCGUGUAGGUGUGUGUUCCAGGUAAAUCCGGUUCACUUUAACACUGAGGCGUGAUGACGAGGCACUACGGUGCUGAAGCAACAAAUGCCCUGCUUCCAGGAAAAGCCUCUAAGCAUCAGGUAACAUCAAAUCGUACCCCAAACCGACACAGGUGGUCAGGUAGAGAAUACCAAGGCGCUUGAGAGAACUCGGGUGAAGGAACUAGGCAAAAUGGUGCCGUAACUUCGGGAGAAGGCACGCUGACAC
rnacentral:rRNA from 1 species